GACGAACGCUGGCGGCGUGCUUAACACAUGCAAGUCGAGCGGUAAGGCCCUUUCGGGGGUACACGAGCGGCGAACGGGUGAGUAACACGUGGGUGACCUGCCCUCAGCUCUGGGAUAAGCCCGGGAAACUGGGUCUAAUACUGGAUAUGACUCCAUGACGCAUGUUGUGGGGUGGAAAGCCUUGUGCGGCUGAGGAUGGGCCCGCGGCCUAUCAGCUUGUUGGUGGGGGAUGGCCUACCAAGGCGACGACGGGUAGCCGGCCUGAGAGGGCGACCGGCCACACUGGGACUGAGACACGGCCCAGACUCCUACGGGAGGCAGCAGUGGGGAAUCUUGCGCAAUGGGCGAAAGCCUGAUCCAGCCAUGCCGCGUGAGUGAUGAAGGCCUUAGGGUUGUAAAGCUCUUCUACCCGGGAAGAUAAUGACGGUACCGGGAGAAUAAGCCCGCUAACUUCGUGCCAGCCGCCGCCGUAAG
rnacentral:rRNA from 1 species